rnacentral:misc_RNA from 1 species
AAGUCGUAACAAGGUUUCCGUAGGUGAACCUGCGGAAGGAUCAUUAACACGAGGUCUCUGAAUAAAACUACUUUCCGGGCUAUGAUUUACCAGAGAUUGCAAGCUUCGCGGGUUACAAGAGCAGGAUGAAGGUUCACGGGGGGGGUUUUAACGUUUGGAUACCGUGCGAACAUUGGAACAGUUACAAUCGACUGCGGUAGUUCUAUAGGCAUUGUUUCCCCAAGCAGUCAGUGUCUGAAAGUGUCAUUGAUUGUGCAAGGAUAGCGCUUCACGAUUCCUGCAGACCGUACACUCGGGCAGGAGCUAUGCCAAAGGGUCCCCAUGCCCCCUUAUAACCCCACAGUUUAAUGUGAAGCUCAAUGUAAUACAUUGGGUAAAAAAACCGAACAACUGUUAACAAUGGAUAUCUUGGUUCUC